rnacentral:lncRNA from 1 species
AGAGGAGAAGGGGGGACUGCUGAGCAGCCAGAGACCUGCUGCAGCAAUACAACUGCAUCCCCCUGAGGAAGAUGGAGCACUUUGGGAAGUCCUGUGUUAGCUGCUGCAACCCCAAAUGGAAUCAUCACUGCUGUGUUGUGGGAUUAGGCACAACCAGCCCUGGGGUUAUGGUGGUGCUGUAGGGAUAACGAAGCUGAGGGUGUGGGAGGUGGUAGGGCUGGGAGUGAGGACUGGGCUCGGUGCAAUAGCACAUGGGGCAGCUGCAGAGCUUCCUGUGCCCAGCCGUGCCCACAGCAUGCUCCCAGCUCCCAAAGGGAUGGUUGCAGCUUGCUGGGAGGCUCUGACUUACUUCUUUUCCUAAGUCAUCAAUAGUCCUUGCCAGGACAGGAUGGGUUAGAGGUGCGGGGGCUCCACACAAUAAAUGCUGCAGAAGGAAAGGCAGCAGGUCUCACCUGUGGGCAUUGGAGAGCAUUCUGUCAGCCUUGCACAGGGGGGAUGGAAAUUCCCUGCAAUGCAGCCACACCAAGCUGCCUCUGUCCUGAGCAGUGAGCUUGCGCAGCCUCCUAGAUGCAAACCCUGCUGUUGAAGCCCGGCAGUAGGCUUGAAAGGCUUUGCCUACGAAUUUCUGAGGUGCCUUGGAGUAUUGGCUCAAAUAUAUAAACUUAGAAAAUGUUAAUGCUCUAUCCUGGUAACUGGGCAGGGUGCUCUUCAGCACUGCUUCGGGGAUAAGUCAGAGCAGAAUGGCAGGAACGGCGGCCUAUGGAUUCCCUGCAGGAAAUAUAUGGAUUUGAGCUCUGUCAGUCCUCUGUAAGAAAAAUCCUUCUGUGUGCAAUGGGAGCAGGCAUCCCAGGAACUGCUAUCGGUAUGGAUCUUGAGAAAAGGUCUGGAGGUGACUCGCUCUGGAGAUCCUGCACAGUGCCCCUUGGGGAGCUGUGCCCACUCCCCCAGGUGCGACCCAUGCUGUGCUGCCCCUGGGGUGGGCGCCAGUCCCCAGCUGGCACCAGGGGGUGACACAGGUCCUGCUCCCAUGGACACACCAAGGCUUAAAGGUAGGAAACUGAUGAAGUACAUUCCCAUCCUUCCUUCUGAAGCUCCUCACCCAAAAAUCCUGCUGAAAUUAACAGCAGAAAUGAUGCAAUCAGUGAAGAGAAUUACAGCUGGUUUUCAGUGACUGAGUUUGCAUGAACAGUCAGUUCAGAGGAAGAUGAGCAUCUCUGCUGAAAUCAGGCAGAUGGAAGAAGGAAUCUGGAUUUGGAUAACACUGGAUGAAGCGAUGGGCUAACAUAAUGGGAUAGAGAUCUUCCCAUGUUUGGAUUUUAAAAGAUAGGUCGUUAGGUUUAUUUAAGAUUCAACAGUUUGCAGGACUAAUGUAAAUGAGGCCAAAAAAGGAAGUUAGAUUUGUGGAUUUGACAAGUUACUCGGUGUUUGUGGAGUCACUUUGCACACCAAGAGUUAGGAUUUCUGCCUGUUACAUGCCAUGCAGUUUAAUACUUGUGCAACUCCGUUACUAUUACCUGUGAUUGCAUGAGUAGUUUACUCAUCCAGUGUAUGUGUACGCGGUCCUGGUUCAGGGAAAUAAACUGGAGAAGGGGAUAUAUGAAUUGAAUGGU